rnacentral:rRNA from 1 species
GGAUAACGCAGCGAAAGCUGUGCUAAUACCGCAUACGAUCUACGGAUGAAAGCAGGGGAUCGCAAGACCUUGCGCGAAUGGAGCGGCCGAUGGCAGAUUAGGUAGUUGGUGAGGUAAAGGCUCACCAAGCCUUCGAUCUGUAGCUGGUCUGAGAGGACGACCAGCCACACUGGGACUGAGACACGGCCCAGACUCCUACGGGAGGCAGCAGUGGGGAAUUUUGGACAAUGGGCGCAAGCCUGAUCCAGCCAUGCCGCGUGCAGGAUGAAGGCCUUCGGGUUGUAAACUGCUUUUGUACGGAACGAAACGNCCUUUUCUAAUAAAGAGGGCUAAUGACGGUACCGUAAGAAUAAGCACCGGCUAACUACGUGCCAGCAGCCGCGGUAAUACGUAGGGUGCAAGCGUUAAUCGGAAUUACUGGGCGUAAAGCGUGCGCAGGCGGUAAUGUAAGACAGUUGUGAAAUCCCCGGGCUCAACCUGGGAACUGCAUCUGUGACUGCAUUGCUGGAGUACGGCAGAGGGGGAUGGAAUUCCGCGUGUAGCAGUGAAAUGCGUAGAUAUGCGGAGGAACACCGAUGGCGAAGGCAAUCCCCCUGGGCCUGUACUGACGCUCAUGCACGAAAGCGUGGGGAGCAAACAG